GGCUCAAUGGUCUAGUGGUAGGAUACUCGCUUCGGGUUAUAAAGAUCCAGUCUCUUUAAGAGAUUAUGUGAGUGGUCCCGGGUUCAAAUCCCGGUUGAGCCC